UACGUAGGGUGCAAGCGUUAAUCGGAAUUACUGGGCGUAAAGCGUGCGCAGGCGGUGAUGUAAGACAGUUGUGAAAUCCCCGGGCUCAACCUGGGAACUGCAUCUGUGACUGCAUAGCUAGAGUACGGUAGAGGGGGAUGGAAUUCCGCGUGUAGCAGUGAAAUGCGUAGAUAUGCGGAGGAACACCGAUGGCGAAGGCAAUCCCCUGGACCUGUACUGACGCUCAUGCACGAAAGCUCGGGGAGCGAACGGG
rnacentral:rRNA from 1 species